CACAAGCGGUGGAGCAUGUGGUUAAUUCGAUGAUACGCGAAAAACCUUACCCGGGCUUGACAUGCAUCAGACAGGCGUAGAGAUACGCCCUCCGCGAGGCUGGUGCACAGGUGCUGCAUGGUUGUCGUCAGCUCGUGUCGUGAGAUGUUGGGUUAAGUCCCGCAACGAGCGCAACCCCUACCGUGUGUUACCAUCAUUAAGUUGGGGACUCGCACGGAACUGCCGGUGAUAAACCGGAGGAAGGUGGGGAUGACGUCAAGUCCUCAUGGCCCUUAUGGGUAGGGCUUCACACGUCAUACAAUGGUCGGUACAGAGGGUUGCCAACCCGCGAGGGGGAGCCAAUCCCAGAAAGCCGAUCGUAGUCCGGAUUGUUCUCUGCAACUCGAGAGCAUGAAGUCGGAAUCGCUAGUAAUCGCGGAUCAGCAUGUCGCGGUGAAUACAUUCCCGGGUCUU
rnacentral:rRNA from 1 species